rnacentral:rRNA from 1 species
UACGGGAGGCAGCAGUGGGGAAUAUUGCGCAAUGGGCGGAAGCCUGACGCAGCGACGCCGCGUGGGGGAUGACGGCCUUCGGGUUGUAAACCUCUUUCAGCAGGGACGAAGCGGAAGUGACGGUACCUGCAGAAGAAGCACCGGCCAACUACGUGCCAGCAGCCGCGGUAAUACGUAGGGUGCAAGCGUUGUCCGGAAUUAUUGGGCGUAAAGAGCUCGUAGGCGGUUUGUUGCGUCGGCUGUGAAAUCCCGAGGCUCAACCUCGGGUCUGCAGUCGAUACGAGCAAACUAGAGUGUUGCAGGGGAGACUGGAAUUCCUGGUGUAGCGGUGAAAUGCGCAGAUAUCAGGAGGAACACCGGUGGCGAAGGCGGGUCUCUGGGCAACAACUGACGCUGAGGAGCGAAAGCGUGGGGAGCGAACAGGAUUAGAUACCCUGGUAGUCCACGCCGUAAACGUUGGGCGCUAGGUGUGGGGCUCAUUCCACGAGUUCCGUGCCGCAGCUAACGCAUUAAGCGCCCCGCCUGGGGAGUACGGCCGCAAGGCUAAAACUCAAAGAAAUUGACGGGGGCCCGCACAAGCGGCGGAGCAUGUUGCUUAAUUCGAUGCAACGCGAAGAACCUUACCUAGGCUUGACAUGCACGGAAAUCUCCCAGAGAUGGGGGGUCCGUAAGGGCCGUGCACAGGUGGUGCAUGGUUGUCGUCAGCUCGUGUCGUGAGAUGUUGGGUUAAGUCCCGCAACGAGCGCAACCCUCGUUCUAUGUUGCCAGCACGUCAUGGUGGGGACUCAUAGGAGACUGCCGGGGUCAACUCGGAGGAAGGUGGGGAUGACGUCAAAUCAUCAUGCCCCUUAUGUCUAGGGCUGCAAACAUGCUACAAUGGCCGGUACAAAGGGCUGCGAUACCGCGAGGUGGAGCGAAUCCCAAAAAGCCGGUCUCAGUUCGGAUUGGGGUCUGCGACUCGACCCCAUGAAGUUGGAAUCGCUAGUAA